ensembl:lncRNA
GGAGGGGGCCUGCGCUGCCUGUUGGGAAGACCACUGUUAGAGCUGGGCCUGCGCUGCUGUGGUCAGAUCGGUCUGUUGGAGCUGGGCCUGCGCUGCUGUGGUCAGAUCGGUCUGUUAGAGCUGGGCCUGCGCUGCUGUGGUCAGAUCGGUCUGUUGGAGCUGGGCCUGCGCUGCUGUGGUCAGAUCGGUCUGUUGGAGCUGGGCCUGCGCUGCUGUGGUCAGAUCGGUCUGUUAGAGCUGGGCCUGCGCUGCUGUGGUCAGAUCGGUCUGUUAGAGCUGGGCCUGCGCUGCUGUGGUCAGAUCGGUCUGUUAGAGCUGGGCCUGCGCUGCUGUGGUCAGAUCGGUCUGUUGGAGCUGGGGCUGCGCUGCUGUGGUCAGAUCGGUCUGUUAGAGCUGGGCCUGCGCUGCUGUGGUCAGAUCGGUCUGUUAGAGCUGGGCCUGCGCUGCUGUGGCCAGAUCGGUCUCAGUAGAGAGGAGAGCCAGAAGGUCAUGCAUGUCGUUCCUCUCCUAAAAUAGAGGCCCAAUUACCUUAAAUGAGAAUGAUCAUGAAGCUAAACUAUGUGAGUGAGCGUGUGAUUGAGAGGCGGAGUGAUCAUGAAGCUAAACUAUGUGAGUGAGCGUGUGAUUGAGAGGUAGAGUGAUCAUGAAGCUAAACUAUGUGAGUGAGCGUGUGAUUGAGAGGUAGAGUGAUCAUGAAGCUAAACUAUGUGAGUGAGCGUGUGAUUGAGAAGCAGAGUGAUCAUGAAGCUAAACUAUGUGAGUGAGCGUGUGAUUGAGAGGUAGAGUGAUCAUGAAGCUAAACUAUGUGAGUGAGCGUGUGAUUGAGAGGUAGAGUGAUCAUGAAGCUAAACUAUGUGAGUGAGCGUGUGAUUGAGAGGUAGAGUGAUCAUGAAGCUAAACUAUGUGAGUGAGCGUGUGAUUGAGAGGUAGAGUGAUCAUGAAGCUAAACUAUGUGAUUGAGAGGUAGAGUGAUCAUGAAGCUAAACUAUGUGAGUGAGAGGUAGAGUGAUCAUGAAGCUAAACUAUGUGAUUGAGAGGUAGAGUGAUCAUGAAGCUAAACUAUGUGAUUGAGAGGCGGAGUGAUCAUGAAGCUAAACUAUGUGAUUGAGAGGCAGAGUGAUCAUGAAGCUAAACUAUGUGAUUGAGAGGUAGAGUGAUCAUGAAGCUAAACUAUGUGAUUGAG